rnacentral:lncRNA from 1 species
UUGCUGUAUAGUUAAAUAUAAGAGCCAUAUAAAUGGUUCCUUAUUAUUUAUGAAUAUGUGUCUUAUGAUUAUAACGCUUGUGAUAAUCUUAUGCACGAUAUACAUUUGUUGGAAGCUAAGAACCCUUGGGAAAAAACAUUCAGAUUCCGAACGUUAGAAAAAACAGUAAGAAGAUUCCGAACGUUGGUGAAAACAGUCUGACGACUCCUAACACGAGGGUAAACACUCCGAAGAUUCCGAAUGCAGAGAAAAACAGCCCGAAGACUCCGAGCGUUAGGGAAAACAGCCGGACGAUUCCUAACGCUAAGAGAAACAGUAUGAAGAUUCAGAACCCAAAGGCCCAAGCAAAGAUUCGCCGGUCUGCUUUCAUAGUGAUAUUUAUAUCUGUGGUAUUUAUACUUUCGGAAGUGCUUAAUUACUUAUGGACAAUCAACCAAUCAGGAUUAUUGCCAUUCAGUCAUUCUCUAGACCAGCUAUGUGACUCUUUAAUGAUAUUAAGUUGGCAGUUCGGAUUUUCUGUAAAUUUCAUUGUCUAUUUUAUAAUGAGCGCGAAAUUAAGGAAAACACUGCAGGCAUUUCUUGUCAAAAUAUUUCGCUGUAAUAAAAGAAAGAAAGAUGAAAACAUUUUUUCAAACACCAUUACAUCAACUCCUAAUUCUGCGAUUAUCUGAGCAGGGUCAGUCAACUUCCGGAAAUCAACUAUUGUGAUGUCAUCAACAGUUUUAAUCGUGGUUACAGCUGAGUUUAAAAAGUGACUAUAACUAUAUGGACAGUUUAAUACCGAACCAUUACACUUAUUUUUAUUUCCAUAAAUGUUUUUCAAAAAUGGG